rnacentral:rRNA from 1 species
AUACGUAGGGUGCAAGCGUUAAUCGGAAUUACUGGGCGUAAAGCGUGCGCAGGCGGUUUUGUAAGGCAGUGGUGAAAUCCCCGGGCUCAACCUGGGAACUGCCAUUGUGACUGCAAGGCUGGAGUGCGGCCGAGGGGGAUGGAAUUCCGCGUGUAGCAGUGAAAUGCGUAGAUAUGCGGAGGAACACCGAUGGCGAAGGCAAUCCCCUGGGCCUGCACUGACGCUCAUGCACGAAAGCGUGGGGAGCAAACAGGAUUAGAUACCCUGGUAGUCCACGCCCUAAACGAUGUCAACUGGUUGUUGGGGAUUUAUUUUCUCAGUAACGAAGCUAACGCGUGAAGUUGACCGCCUGGGGAGUACGGCCGCAAGGUUAAAACUCAAAGGAAUUGACGGGG